GUCAAUUUCAACUCUUGGUUUUUGUUUUUUUCUUUUUACUGUUGUUGUUGUUUUGGUUUAUUCUGGUUUGGUUUAGUUUUUUGAGACAGGGUUUCUCUGUAGCCCUGGCUGUCUCAGAACUCACUCUGUAGACCAGGCUGGUCUCGAGCUCAGAAGAUCCACUUGCCUCUGUCUCACAAGUGCUGAGAUUAAAGGUGUGUGGCAUCACUGCUCAGAUGAGUCCUUUUUUUUGGGGGGGUAUGGGGGGUUCGAGACAGGGUUUCUCUGUGUAUCCCUGGCCGUCCUGAAACUCCCUCUGUAGACCAGGCUGGCCUCCAGCUCAGAGAUUCACCUGCCUCUGCCUCCCAAGUGCUGGGAUUAAAGGCGUGUGCCACCAUGCCCGGCCAGCUGAGUCCAUUUUGAUUCAGCGUUUAUCUGGUCUUUCUUAGACACUGGGAACUGCAGUCGUUUUCUUGUUUUAAGUGGGUGUUGAGAACAAACCUCUAACUGUACAGCCUGGACUCUUGAGGCUGUUCUUUGAGCUCCAUGUGGAGAUUUCUUACUACUCUGUAACAUGAAAUUUGCAAGUUUUGGUGGAAGCACACUAUGCUUUGUUCUCAAGUGUGACUUGUAAAAUUUUUAUCAGGGAGCCUGGCAUAGACAACACUGCCCAAACAGAACAAGCUUAAACCAGUUCCAACAUAUGUCGGCCAAAUAUCAGUCCUACCCGAAUCAAACAUGAGGUCACAGGCUUUAGAAUCUUAUAUGUGAUGGAGGCUUGGAGUCUUGUUUUACAUGGAAUCACAGGAGUGUGCUUAUGUAUCUCUUUAAUUCUUCUAGCUUAGACAUAAUGGAUCAAAAUGUCUAGCUUGCUCUCUGACUGGGAUAGGAUUCAUUCCAUCCCACAUAUGUGGCCAUUCUCAACAAUUCUGUGCACUGUCUUUGCAGGUCAGCCCUGCUGUGAGGUUAUGGUACAGCUAGUUCUCUGUUCAAUUUUCCAAUACAUAUGGAUACUUACUAGCAGGCAGGAACAGUGUUAUUCAUAGAACCCAUUUUGUGAAAUCAGUGAUGUCCCGAUUUGCUGUUCUUUGCUGAAAUGGUUCCCCAGGGGGAAAGAGCUGCUGAUCAUUGAGCUCAAGCAACUACCAAUCUGUAGAACAGCCGUUCUCAACAGGGGACAUUCGGCCAUGGCUGGAGAGAAAUUUGGCCAUGAUCCUUUUGGGCUAUGUAGGUCAGAGUCAGAGAUGCUGCUGCAUAUACUGUGAUGCUCAGGAUAGCUUCCAGAGCAGUGAGUCACUUGGUCCACAUGUCAGAAGUGUCCCAAGUAAGGAUCUCUGUCGUCAGUCACUGACUUGAUACAAGACUGGCUUAAACAGGUUCUGAUAUACCAUUGCUGCCAUCCCUGAGCUGUAGGCACUGUUGAAGGCACAUAGCAUGUUAACACUGAAGGGAGAUUCUUUAUAUAAUAUUGUAGCCUACUUUCAAAUACUUGACAACUUUCAUUUACUAAGAACCCCAACUGUGGGCUGGAGAGGUGGCUCAACAGUUAAUAGUGCUCUUGUAGAGGACUGGAGUUUGAAUCCCAGCAUUUAAGUCACGUGACCCAACAAUCACCGGUUGCUCCUGCUCCAGAGCACCAAACACUCUCCUGACACUUGCACACAGGUGCACAUGCACGCAUACAUACACAUAAACUAAAAAUAAAGUGUUACAAAUAAGGAAGCUGUAUCUCACAUUUAGUAUGUAAUUAAUCGGUGUGUGCACUAAUAAAGUCCCACUCCUACCAGCCAUUGUGCAGUGUUACUGUGAUCAAGACAUGGCUGAAUGACAUUCUUUGCAGAAGCGUCCAUUUAACUUUGGGCUCCUAUUAGGAAGAUUUGUUUUCAUUCUUAAUUGCAAGAUAUUGGCACUACCUUGUUUUGUCUUUAGCCUGAGUAACAGAUCCACAUGAUAUGCCGUGACUUUGUAUAUACCUUUCAGUGUAGUGGCCACUGGAUCCUGGAUGCUGCUUUUGUGGGAAGUAUUGACUUUGGUUGAGUCAAGGAUGUAGACAGAGGAGGAGAAAUGUCUUGCCUCAUUCUUGCCCCAGAGAGUUGAGAGUUAAAGGACAGGCAAGGUGUGUGAGGAAAAAAACAUGCAAAUGAAGACAAAGAUUAAAAGAACCACGGUAAAAUGUUAUGAAAGUUUUUUUUUUAACCAAGUGGUAAUAACAAUAAGUUUUGAAUAUAAAAUUAAACC
rnacentral:lncRNA from 1 species